CUCUCCCGCUAGAGGCGGAGCGGCGGUGCUCGCGGGAAGACCCUUUCCUGGGGGUCGCCCAGGGUGCCGCCCUGCUAAUGUCCGAUUCAGGGUUGCUGGCCCUACAGCCCUGGAUUCGAGAGCUGAUCCUAGGUUCAGAAACACUGUCAAGUCCACGAACCGGGCAGCUGCUCAAGGUACUCCAGGACUCGGAGACUCCCGGCCCUUCUUCCGCCCCUGACACACCUGACACCGGGGCCGUGUUACUUGUGUCAGACGGAACCCACAGUGUCCGAUGCGUGGUGACGCGCAACGCCAUCGACACCUCCGACUGGGAGGAGAAGGAGCUCGGAUUCCGCGGGACCGAGGGCCGGCUCCUGCUACUGCAGGCCUGCGGGCUCCGCGUUCAGGUGGCUCAGGACCAUGCGCCUGCGGAGUUCUACCUCCAGGUGGAUCGCUUUAACCUGCUGCCCACGGAGCAGCCCCGGAUACAGGUGACUGGUUGUUAAAUGAAGCUUCCACCUUUUGUCUCUUCACGCGCACUUGGCAUAGAUCUUCAGGUGAGAGGGAUGGGCAUCAAUAACCCUGAUCACCUACCACCCUCCUCUUUCUCCCAGCAAUCAGGAUUCAGAUGUGCAGAGAAAACUCAAUGAGUGUCUUGAGGACCACCUCUCAGAGUCUGCUUCUUCCAGUGCAGGCCUAACCCUGUCCCAGCUUCUGGAUGAGGUGAGGGAGGACCAGGAUCAUCGGGGAGCCCUAGUGUGUCUAGCUAAGAGCUGCCUGGUGCUGAAAGGUCCUUGUACAACCACCCCCCUCACCGACUGGAUCACCUCUGGCUCCCAGGCCUUGGGAAAAGCUGUGUUCACUGUGUCUGGCUCAUUGCUGCACAUCCCUGAGGGUGAGGAGCAGAUUUUGAGUUCUACAGGCUCCAGUCAGAAGGCUCGGGGAACCUCCGCUUCACCCAGCCACAUGCCCCUGGAGGAAAGUGGUGCCAGCGUUAGCCUUCUGUCAGCCUUGGCUACAUCGGACCCUGGGCAGAUGGACAGUUCCCAGUCUCCACCAGCUGUUGGCUCAACCUCCCCAAGAGCUCAGGCCCCCACUUCUCCACCCUGCAAUUCUACACCCAGCUCCCUACUCUUGAACUGCAGCCCCAGUCUUUCACCCCUUCACCCUGCCCCUAGAUCACACCAGUCCUGUGAGACCAGAGCUCAGGCUCCUAAGCUGGAGUUCCAGUGCUCCUUCAAGAAACGGCAGCUUCUCCCAAGAACCAGCGCCCAGGAGCUCUGCUCUGUGUGGGAACCCCCAGAGAGGCAUCGUGAUACUUCUGCAUUCCAGUAUAAAUACGAGACACCCUCUGCCUCCCUCCACACCCAGGUCCAAACUGCCAGGCUCUCUCCUCAGCUUGUAGCUUGGGCCUUGAAUAUAGUGAUGGAGUCAGAGUCUGAGUUAACCCAGGUAUGAGGAGUCACUGGGACAUAGCAGAGGACACAUGGGCUGACGGACAGACAGUAUUCCACGCUGUUUCAUUCAAGUUUUUUAAUAAAAUAAUUUCAUGCGGCA